rnacentral:lncRNA from 1 species
CUUCCUCUUGUCUCCAAGGAAAAGUAACACAAAUGUGCUGAGAACCUCGCCCAGCCCUCCGCGGGGUUGGCCCUGGCUACUUAGUUGCAGGAACCGAGGGAAAGAAAGCCCCAUUGGGAAGUGGUACCUAUCAUUUUCUGGCCUUCCUCCUGGAACCGGAGCAGGACAGCAGGACCAUGUAGGGCUGCCCAUUCCCAUCCUACGACCCUGACAGUGAGUGACCAGUAAGAAAUUCCUCGGCACACAAGGAAUGGACAAGAACAGCAGCCAUGAGGAUGCAUCACUGAGGAGUACCACGGAAAUUGCUCACGUCGCUAGUUAAUGAAAUAAAUGAGCCACCA